GUAAAUGGACAUGAAAGUGUCCCUAAAAUGGUCCAGAGUACUCUCUUCUCAUCAGCUUGAGAAAACUUAAUUUCAAUUUUAAUGUUUAAUUUCAACAUUGGUG